rnacentral:siRNA from 1 species
UCCAAACCCGAAACUUUCAAAUAC